GUGCAGCAGGCGAGAAACCUUUGCAAUGCGCGAAAGCGUGACAAGGUGACUCCGAGUGCUCAUGCGUAAGCAUGAGCUUUUCCCGAGUGUAAACAGCUCGGGGAAUAAGGGCCGGGCAAUACCCGUGCCAGCCGCCGCGGUAAUACGGGAGGCCCGAGUGGUGCCCGCGAUUACUGGGCUUAAAGCGUCCGUAGCCGGUCCGGUAAGUCCUUGGUGAAAGCCCCAGGCUUAACCUGGGGAGGUGCCAAGGAUACUGCCGGUCUAGGGGAGCGGGGAGAGGCGAGGGGUACUCCGGGGGUAGCGGUGAAAUGCGUUGAUCCUCGGGGGACCACCGGUAGCGAAGGCGCCUCGCUGGAACGCGUCCGACGGUGAGGGACGAAGGCCAGGGGAGCGACCCGGAUUAGAUACCCUGUAGU
rnacentral:rRNA from 1 species